UUUCCGUAGGUGAACCUGCGGAAGGAUCAUUACCGAGUGAGGGUCUCUCAGGCCCGACCUCCCACCCUGUGUUUUUGUGACCUUGUUGCUUUGGCGGGCCCGCCUCGAUGAGAGGCCGCCGGAAGCUCACCGCUUUGGGCCUGUGCCCGUCAGUAGCCCCCUUAAAUUCUUAAUAAACCUGUCGUCUGAGUUAAUGGAUAUAAUGAAAGAAAACUUUCAACAACGGAUCUCUUGGUUCUG
rnacentral:misc_RNA from 1 species